AAUAAAUAUAUGUUCAUGUACACACUGGUCAUGCACAUGUAUAUCAGAGGCAGUGUGUGGUACAUUGGGUCUGAAAACAGGAAGACCUGAAUUCAAAUAUCAGAUAUUUAGUAGCUGUGUGACCCUGAACAAGUUACCUGUCCUCUGGUUUCCUCAACUGUAAAAUGGGGGUAAUAAAAGCACUUUCCAGAUAGAGUUGUGAGUAUCAAAUGAAAGAAUAUUUUUCACAGUUCUUAGUACAGUUCUUGGCACCUAAUAGCCACUGUAUUAUACUUAUCCCCUUCUCUGCUGUGGGGAAAUAUGAACCACAGAUAAGUAAAUUCAAAUUAAUUUAAAUUAAUGUUGGUGAGAGCCUACAUCUGAGGAAAUUAGGUAAGGCCCAGGCAGGGGUAAGAGGUAACAGACAGGAGAUGAUCCUUGAAUGGAGGCAGGGAUGCUAAGAGACAGAAAUGAGGGAAAACACUGCAGGGAAGAAGGGAGGGGCUGGACACAGACAAGAGUUAGUUGGAAUGGGUGUGUAUGGGGAACAACAAAUAGGACAGUUUAGCUUAGUAGUAAAGAACCUAAGAGGGAGCAAUGUGAAGUCAGCCUAGAAAGAUAGGCAGGAGCCAGACUGUGAAGGGUUUUAAAUAGCAAAUAGCAAAUAAGCUAAUGACCAUGUGAAGGGCAUUGAAAGUUUUUAAGCUGGAGACCAUGAAGUUUGGGUCUUUUAAUUCACAUAAUCAAAAAUACUAGAAAACAAAAAAGCAAGCUGUCCAUCAAUGAUUAAAAAACAAAACAAAACAAAACAAUUUUCACAAGACAGAAAAGAAAAAGUUGACAUCCAGAUUUCUGCUGAAGUCUUGAUUAUUGAUUUUCCUUGAGUAGAUAGAGCUUUGAACCAGGAGACUAGAAAACCUAAAGUUCAAAUCCUUCCUCAGUCACUUACUAGCUCUUUGAUCCUGCACAGGUCACUUAAUCUGCUUGCUUCCAUUUCCUCAUCUUAUAAAAAGGGGACAAUAAUAGCACUUACCUGCCAGUGUUAUUGCGAGGUUUAAAUACGAUAAUAUUUGUAAAAUAUUUUACAAAAUUUGAGCACUAUAUAAAAUGCUAGUAUUUGGCAAUUAGAACAAAAUAGUUGAGAGAGGAAGGAAGGAAGGAAGGAAGGAAGGAAGGAAGGAAGGAAGGAAGGAAGGAAGGAAGGAAGGAAGGAAGGAAGGAAGGAAGGAAGGAAGGAAGGAAGGAAGGAAGGAAGGAAGGAAAAGAAAAGAUAAAAGAAAGAAAAAACAGUUGAAACAUUUUAAAUCUUUUCUAAUAAAACUGAAAAUGUUACAAAAAUAUUUUUCUCAUCUAAAAUACUUUCUAGACUUUUCCCUUUAGGAAAGUGGUGAGAAUAAAAGUUAAGGCCUUUCUUAGGGAAAGGGAUGAGCUGGUAAUGAAAUUCAAGUCAUCUAGAUAUUAAUAGCAUUUGCCUCCCUACUCCCCCUCCCAUCCCUUGAAAAUGACUGAGGCUAUAACCUGCCUAAGGGCAGGAUUUUCUUGCAUUCAAGGUUAAAAUAUUAAUCUGCAGGAAGAAAAUCUUUCUGAAUCUCUUCAGAAGUGCCAGGAAGGAACUGAGUUAUGACUGUUUUGGAAUGUUUACUCCAAACUGUAUUUUAAGAUAUCAUGAUCUUUUUCUUCUUCAAGAUUCAUAUUACCUCAAAUCAUCUUAGUGUAGAGCUAUAUCCAAUGGCAUGGGAAAACUCUGCCCUUUUGGAGAUCUUUUCUGGAAGCUAGAAAUGCUUUUCAUAUAGUAAUGAUAAUAGUAAUAGCUAGCAUUUAGAUAUCACUUUAAGGGUUGCAAAGCACUUGACACAGAAUAAUGCUUAAAUAAAACUAUUUCUGUCAAAUGUGACAAUGCAGAAUAUACUAUAAAUAUUUUUUCUUUAAUCAGAAUAAAGAAAAAAGAACUGAAGUAAAAGUUUUGAGAUACCUAAAAUAACAAAAAUUAUUAUCAGAAAGUCUCUAUAAAGAAUAUUGAAGGUAUGUUGGUUCUAAAGGAAUUAUAAAGUAAUAAAUAACCAUUUUAUAUUAAUUAAAAUACUACUAGAUGGCACAGUGGAUAGUGUAAUGAGCCUGGAGUCUGGCAGGCCUGAGUUCAAAGGUAGUUUGAAAUACUUCCUAGCUUUGGGAUCCUGGGCAAAUCACUUAACUCUGUUUGCCUCAGUUUCCUUAUGUGUAAAAUGAGCUGGAGAAAGAAAUGGCAAACUAGUGCAGUAUCUUUGCCAAGAAAAUUCCAAAUGGGAUUAUGAAAAGUCAGACACAAAUGAAAUGAUGGAACAACAACAACAAAUUAUUACUAAAUCAGGCAGGUUGGGAAUAAUCCCUAAGUAAAAUAGAAAAACAAUAAUGAGUAAUCAAUCAUAUAAGAAUGAAGAACAUUUAAGGGGGCAGCUGGGUAGCUCAGUGGAUUAAGUCAGCCCUAGAGACGGGAGGUCCUAGGUUCAAAUUUGACCUCAGCCACUUCCUAGCUGUGUGACCCUGGGCAAGUCACUUGACCCCCAUUACCUAGCCCUUACCACUCUUCUGCCUUGGAGCCAAUACACAGUAUUGACUCCAAGACGGAAGGUAAGGGUUUAAAAAAAAAAAGAAUGAAGAACAUUUAAAUAAUGAAGUUUACCUUUUGAAGAAUAAUAUUUAAUUGCUUCUCAGCUGCUAAAAUCUCCCUUAAUUUUAGUGUCUUCCAUGUGUUGAUUUUCUCCAAUUUUUCCUACAUUAUAUAUUUGUUUGUUUGUUUUGUUUUGUUUUUAGUUGUUUGGAGACUGUCUCCCCAUUAGAAUAUGAGCUUCUUGAAAGCAGAGAUUUUAUUUUUCCUUUUUUUUUUUAAUAUCCUCAUAGGUUUGCACAGUACCUAGCACAUGAUAAAGGUAAAUUAAAUGCUUGUUGACUGAUUAACUGAUUCAUAAUGCCACAGUGUUUGGUGGAUUCAGAACUGGUUGACUGCUUGGCUUCAAAGAAUAGUUACUGAUGGCAAGUGGCCUCUAGUGAGAUGUCCAAAGAUACGUGCCUGGCUAUGUUUUAUUUGACAUUUUUAUCAGCGGUUUGGCUUAAAGCAUAAAUGGAGUGCUUAUCAAAUUUGUAGAUUACACAAAACUGUGAAGGAUUGAUAACUUUGGGGGACAAAAAGCUUUUAAAAGGCUAUAUAAUGUUAUGCUAUAUCUAAUAAGAUAAAAUUAAGUAAGGAUAAAUAAUUCUCACCCGUGGUUCAAAAAAAAACUUCACAGGUCUAUGUUUGAAGUCUGUGUUUAAAAAAGACCUGGGAGUUUGGGCCAAGAAAAAAAAAAACGAAUACAUUCUUAGACUGGAUACAAAAGGAAAAACCGAGGUCCUUCAGGUAUAACUAAUAACUGUAGAAAUCUGUUUUUCUUAAUUCUGAAACCAUUAUGUCUGUUUUCCACAAGCUACCUUACUAUAUAAAUGCACCAGACACAGAAUAAAUGGAGUCACAAAGAGCCAGACAUGAAUGAACAAUAACAACAGAGUGGAAUGGGAUGCUUUGGGAAAGAGUGACUUUCUCAUCUUCAUAGUGGUCUCUAAGGAGAGACUGGAUGACUACUUGUCAGGCGCGUGAAACAGCAGGACAUGAAGGCAGAGUGGGAAGUGGACAAAAGCUCACUGGAAGGAGGCCAUCUCUUACACUUCGCAGACUGCCACAGUUGCAAAGGAACAUUCUCCAUGGAGCCUUCCUAUAUAAUUUAGGUGGUGACCUGAGAAGGAAAAUAGAGGCUAGAGGAAUACGGAUGUGAGAUAGAUAAGGCAGUCAGAGCAAGAAACGCAGGACUAAAGACUCAAAGACCACAAGUUAAAACACAUGGGGAGUUGUGAGCUCCUCUGUUGAUACCUCUCUGGAAGAAGAUAACGAGUGGAGAAAUUAGAAGUAUGAGAAACAAGAGAACCUGCAUGGAGCAGAAGACUCCAGGAUAUCCCCCAUAGACCAGGUGGUCAAGAGAUUAAUGGGAGAUGUGCGGGGCAGCUGUGCUGUGUAAGUCAGUCAAACAUGAGGCAAGACCAAGAUCAAGAUUGUAAGAUGCAAGGGAGAGAGUAAGGACUGUGAGAUCAAGAGGUGUGAGAGAGGAGAGGAGAAGAAGCUCACACAUGUUCCCUAGCUUUUACUGGGGUCCUUAGGAAUGUCAAGUUAGAGGUGAUUAAUGAAUAUAUGACAUGAUAUAGGUUUUGACAUUGGUUGAAUUGACAAUGAUGGAAUCAAAUAGGAGAUUAAUCCAACCCGGGCUUUGUAAGGGAAUGUAGUCCGAGCCAGGACACUGUGGCUGUCAAUGCCCAGCAGAGGAAUUUGCUUGUCCUUUGCACUAGUCCUUUGGAUUGUCCCUUUCCAUACAAUGAACAUUAAGUGAUCUGACCAUGUGUCUGGUAAAUGAAUAUACAGGAUACAAUAUCAAUGCAUCAAUCAUACUUCCAAGAUGCCAAGAUGCCUAGUAUGCUACACUUCCCCAUUUACUUUGGUCUCUAGUGAUUCUCCCCUUCCUCAUAAUCCAGAGUAUUUGUCACUGAUAAUCAUUAAGGGAUGUGAUCACUUUCUAUAUCUUGGUGCUCUCUAAUUAUUUCAUACAUGUAAGUCUUGCUUUCACUGUUAGUUUGUCCCUUAGGGUCAUAGACCUCAUCUUACAUUUCUUUGUUUCCCUCCACUCCAUAAUAAUUGCUCAGUUGUUUCAAUAAAUUUAUUCAUCUAAUAGGGACAACAGAUGAUGUUAACUUAAAUGUAGCAUUAAAAUGUUUAUUCCAUAAUUACAAAUGGUCACUAUUUUUAAUAUUAAAUUAAAUAUCCCCCCAAUUACAUGUAAAGGUUUCCAACAUUUUAAAAAGAAUUUUGAGUCUUGAAUUUUUUCUUCCCUCCUCACCCUCCCUAGUGAUAUGGUAAGUAAUACCAUAGAGACUGUACAUGUGCAAUCAUGCAAAACAUUUUCCCACAUUAAACCCUUUUGUGUAAGGAAACUGAAACAACAAAAAAAAAUUAAUAAAGUGAAAAAUGUUUCCUUUGUUCUGGAUCCAGACUCCAUCAAUUCUUUCUCUGGAAGUAAAUGGUAUUUUUUUUUAAUCAUGAGUCCUUUGUGGUUGUUUUGAAUCAUUGUAUUUGCUUAGAACACCUAAGUUAUUUGCAGUUGAUCAUUGUACAGUAUUGCUGUCCUUGUGUAUGAUGUUCUGGUUCUGCUUACUUUACUCUGCUUCAGUUAUUGUAGAUCUUUCCAGGUUUUUCUGAGAUCCUCCUGAUCAUCAUUUCUUGUGGAACUAUAACAUUCCAUUAUAAUCAUAUACAAUAACUUAUUCAGUCAUUCCUCAAUUGAUGGGAUCCCCUCACUUUCCAAUUCUUUGUUUGCCCCAACAAAAAGAGCUGCUUGAAAUACUUUC